rnacentral:piRNA from 2 species
CUAAUUGAUCACAACCAGUUACAGAUUU